GAUCCUUUUGUAGUUCAUGAGCGUGACGAUUGGGUGUUCACGCUGCUGCAUGACAUGUGCCUCCUUCCAAACCUUUUUAUGACACCGGCACGUUACCCAUCUGACGU
rnacentral:snoRNA from 1 species